UCGAGCGAUGAAACUUUAACAGAACCCUUCGGGGCGAAGAUAAAGUGGAUUAGCGGCGGACGGGUGAGUAACACGUGAGUAACCUGCCUUAGACAUUGGGAUAGCCUCGGGAAACCGGGAUUAAUACCAAAUAAAAUCAUAAUGACACAUGUCAUAACGAUCAAAACUCCGGUGGUCUAAGAUGGACUCGCGUCCCAUUAGCUAGUUGGUAGAGUAAAAGCCUACCAAGGCGACGAUGGGUAGCCGGCCUGAGAGGGUGAACGGCCACAUUGGAACUGAGAAACGGUCCAAACUCCUACGGGAGGCAGCAGUGGGGAAUAUUGCACAAUGGAGGGAACUCUGAUGCAGCGACGCCGCGUGAACGAAGAAGGCUUUCGAGUCGUAAAGUUCUUUUAUAUGGGAAGAUAAUGACGGUACCAUAAGAAGAAGCCCCGGCUAACUACGUGCCAGCAGCCGCGGUAAUACGUAGGGGGCUAGCGUUGUCCGGAAUCACUGGGCGUAAAGGGUUCGCAGGCGGAAAUGCAAGUCAGAUGUAAAAGGCAGUAGCUUAACUACUGUAAGCAUUUGAAACUGCAUAUCUUGAGAAGAGUAGAGGUAAGUGGAAUUUUUAGUGUAGCGGUGAAAUGCGUAGAUAUUAAAAAGAAUACCGGUGGCGAAGGCGACUUA
rnacentral:rRNA from 2 species